GAGCACGCGCGUGUGGCAUAUCAAUAAGCGGAGGAAAAGAAACUAACAAGGAUUCCCUUAGUAACGGCGAGUGAAGCGGGAAGAGCUCAAAUUUGAAAUCUUCAAGGUUCUACCUUGACGAAUUGUAGUUUAUAGAAGUGUUUUCUGUUAGUGGAGUGGCAAAAGUUCUUUGGAAUAGGACAUCAUAGAGGGUGAGAAUCCCGUAUUUGGUCAUUCCUCCUAGCGUUGUGAUACACUUUCAACGAGUCGGAUUGUUUGGGAAUGCAGUCCAAAAUGGGUGGUAAAUUUCAUCUAAAGCUAAAUAUUGGCGAGAGACCGAUAGCGAACAAGUACCGUGAGGGAAAGAUGAAAAGAACUUUGAAAAGAGAGUUAAACAGUACGUGAAAUUGUCAAAAGGGAAGCGUUUGACACCAGUGUUGUUUUUCCGAAAAUCAAUUAAGAAUGUUUUAUUUUUGAAGGAGUUAUGACUUCAUCGGCUUGCUUCUCUCUUUACGAAACUUUCUUAAUGCACUUUUCGGUUAACAAGUCAACAUCAAUUUCUUUUGUUGUAAAAGGGUACGAGGAAGGUGGCUUUCUUUUCGGAGAAAGUGUUUAUAGCCUUGUACCUCUGCAAUCGGAGAGAUUGAGGUCUGCAGCGUAGAUCCUUCGGGGUUAGAUACAUUUGUGCUAAGUUAUAGCUUUUCAUAGACAACUUGUUGACUAUGUUAAGUCAUUGUAGCUUACUCGCUUAUGCUAUUUUACCUACGCUUAGGAUGUUGAUGUGAUACUGCGAGCA
rnacentral:rRNA from 1 species